rnacentral:rRNA from 1 species
GCAGGAUAUUGCUGGCUUACGUGUGAUGGUUCAGUUUGUAGAUGACGUCAAGGAAGUAGUGGAUAUUUUGCACAAGCGUCAGGAUAUGCGAAUCAUACAGGAGCGAGAUUACAUUACUCAUAGAAAAGCAUCAGGCUAUCGUUCCUAUCAUGUGGUAGUAGAAUAUACGGUUGAUACCAUCAAUGGAGCUAAGACUAUUUUGGCAGAAAUUCAAAUUCGUACUUUGGCCAUGAAUUUCUGGGCAACGAUAGAACAUUCUCUCAACUACAAGUACCAAGGGGAUUUCCCAGAUGAGAUUAAGAAGCGACUGGAAAUUACAGCUAGAAUCGCCCAUCAGUUGGAUGAAGAAAUGGGUGAAAUUCGUGAUGAUAUCCAAGAAGCCCAGGCACUUUUUGAUCCUUUGAGUAGAAAAUUAAAUGACGGUGUAGGAAACAGUGACGAUACAGAUGAAGAAUACAGGUAAACGAAUUGAUCUGAUAGCCAAUAGAAAACCGCAGAGUCAAAGGGUUUUGUAUGAAUUGCGAGAUCGUUUGAAGAGAAAUCAGUUUAUACUCAAUGAUACCAAUCCGGAUAUUGUCAUUUCCAUUGGCGGGGAUGGUAUGCUCUUGUCGGCCUUUCAUAAGUACGAAAAUCAGCUUGACAAGGUCCGCUUUAUCGGUCUUCAUACUGGACAUUUGGGCUUCUAUACAGAUUAUCGUGAUUUUGAGUUGGACAAGCUAGUGACUAAUUUGCAGCUAGAUACUGGGGCAAGGGUUUCUUACCCUGUUCUGAAUGUGAAGGUCUUUCUUGAAAAUGGUGAAGUUAAGAUUUUCAGAGCACUCAACGAAGCCAGCAUCCGCAGGUCUGAUCGAACCAUGGUGGCAGAUAUUGUAAUAAAUGGUGUUCCCUUUGAACGUUUUCGUGGAGACGGGCUAACAGUUUCGACACCGACUGGUAGUACUGCCUAUAACAAGUCUCUUGGCGGUGCUGUUUUACACCCUACCAUUGAAGCUUUGCAAUUAACGGAAAUUGCCAGCCUUAAUAAUCGUGUUUAUCGAACACUGGGCUCUUCCAUUAUUGUGCCUAAGAAGGAUAAGAUUGAACUUAUUCCAACAAGAAACGAUUAUCAUACUAUUUCGGUUGACAAUAGCGUUUAUUCUUUCCGUAAUAUUGAGCGUAUUGAGUAUCAAAUCGACCAUCAUAAGAUUCACUUUGUCGCGACUCCUAGCCAUACCAGUUUCUGGAACCGUGUUAAGGAUGCCUUUAUCGGUGAGGUGGAUGAAUGAGGUUUGAAUUUAUCGCAGAUGAACAUGUCAAGGUUAAGACCUUUUUAAAAAAGCACGAGGUUUCUAAGGGAUUGCUGGCUAAGAUUAAGUUUCGAGGUGGAGCGAUUCUGGUCAAUAAUCAACCGCAAAAUGCAACGUAUCUAUUGGACGUUGGAGACUACGUUACCAUUUACAUUCCCGCUGAGGAAGGCUUUGAAACCUUGGAGGCUAUUGAGCAUCCAUUAGAUAUUCUCUAUGAGGAUGACCACUUUCUAGUCUUGAAUAAACCCUAUGGAGUGGCUUCUAUUCCUAGUGUCAAUCACUCUAAUACCAUUGCCAAUUUUAUCAAGGGUUACUAUGUCAAGCAAAAUUAUGAAAAUCAGCAGGUUCACAUUGUUACCAGACUAGAUAGGGACACUUCUGGCUUGAUGCUCUUUGCCAAGCACGGUUAUGCCCAUGCACGAUUAGACAAGCAGUUGCAGAAGAAAUCUAUCGAGAAACGCUACUUUGCUUUGGUUAAGGGAGAUGGACAUUUGGAGCCAGAAGGGGAAAUUAUUGCUCCGAUUGCGCGUGAUGAAGAUUCCAUUAUUACCAGACGAGUGGCUAAAGGCGGAAAGUAUGCCCAUACUUCAUACAAGAUUGUAGCUUCUUAUGGAAAUAUUCACUUGGUCUAUAUUCACCUGCACACUGGUCGAACCCAUCAAAUCCGAGUCCAUUUUUCUUAUAUCGGUUUUCCUUUGCUGGGAGAUGAUUUGUAUGGUGGUAGUCUGGAAGAUGGUAUUCAACGUCAGGCUCUGCAUUGCCAUUACCUAUCCUUUUAUCAUCCAUUUUUAGAGCAAGACUUGCAGUUAGAAAGUCCCUUGCCGGAUGAUUUCAGUAACCUUAUUACCCAGUUAUCAACUAAUACUCUAUAAAAACUGUCUCAGAGUAUAAUUAUUAUCUUAAAGGAGAAAACUCAUGGAAGUUUUUGAAAGUCUCAAAGCCAACCUUGUUGGUAAAAAUGCUCGUAUCGUUCUCCCUGAAGGGGAAGAGCCUCGUAUUCUUCAAGCAACAAAACGCUUAGUAAAAGAAACAGAAGUGAUUCCUGUUUUGCUUGGAAAUCCUGAAAAAAUUAAAAUUUAUCUUGAAAUUGAAGGAAUCAUGGAUGGUUAUGAGGUCAUCGACCCUCAACAUUAUCCUCAAUUUGAAGAAAUGGUUUCUGCCUUGGUGGAGCGUCGCAAGGGCAAAAUGACUGAAGAAGAUGUACGCAAGGUUUUGGUUGAAGAUGUCAACUACUUUGGUGUGAUGUUGGUUUACUUGGGCUUGGUUGAUGGAAUGGUGUCAGGAGCGAUUCACUCAACAGCUUCAACAGUUCGUCCAGCUCUACAAAUCAUCAAAACUCGUCCAAAUGUAACUCGUACUUCAGGAGCCUUCCUCAUGGUUCGUGGUACGGAACGUUACCUAUUUGGAGACUGUGCCAUUAACAUCAAUCCAGAUGCAGAAGCCUUGGCUGAAAUUGCCAUCAACUCAGCAAUCACAGCUAAGAUGUUUGGCAUCGAACCUAAAAUUGCCAUGUUGAGCUAUUCUACUAAAGGUUCAGGGUUUGGUGAAAGCGUUGAUAAGGUCGUUGAAGCAACUAAAAUUGCUCACGACUUGCGUCCUGACCUUGAAAUCGAUGGUGAGUUGCAAUUUGAUGCAGCCUUUGUUCCUGAAACUGCAGCUCUGAAAGCUCCUGGAAGUACGGUAGCUGGUCAAGCAAAUGUCUUCAUCUUCCCAGGUAUCGAGGCAGGAAAUAUCGGUUACAAGAUGGCUGAACGCCUGGGUGGCUUUGCGGCUGUAGGACCUGUUUUGCAAGGUUUAAACAAGCCAGUUAAUGAUCUUUCUCGUGGAUGUAAUGCAGAUGAUGUUUACAAGUUGACCCUCAUCACAGCAGCUCAAGCAGUUCAUCAAUAGUGAAAACUAUAAAGCGAUAUACUAUGCUAUACUGUAGUUAUGAAACUAUGUACGAAAAGCACUGCCAUUAAUUCCUGAGAACUAAAUUACUGAUUGGUGUCAAAAAGGAAAACUUCCAAGCGAUGAUAUCCUGUCUAUACACGACCUAUAGAAAUCUGUAAUAUACAUGUCCGUAAAACGAUAAAUUCCCUUUUUGAUUUUAAAUGAGUAUGAAAAGAGAAUUUUUUCAUGAGAAAACGCAUAAUAUUAAGUGUCUUGACACCUGCUAUUAUGCGUUUUCUGGCUCUUUGUCAACUGUAGUGGGUUGAAGAAAAGCUAAGCUCGAGAAAGGACAAAUUUUGUCCUUUCUUUUUUGAUGUUCAGAGCGAUAAAAAUCCGUUUUUUGAAGUUUUCAAAGUUUCGAAAACCAAAGGCAUUGUGCUUGAUAAGUUUGAUGAGAUUAUUGGUGGCUUCCAGUUUGGCGUUGGAAUAAGGUAAUUGAAGGGCGUUGACGAUUUUCUCUUUAUCUUUGAGGAAGGUUUUAAACAGAGUCUGAAAAAGAGGUGGAAAAGCAAGAGCUGAUAGAGAUUAUAGUGGUGUUUCAAGUCUUCGGAAUAGCUCAAAAGUUUAUCUAGAAUUUCUUUAUUAGUCAAGUGCAUACGAAAAGUAGGGCGAUAAAAUCGUUUAUCACUCAGUUUCUGACUAUCUUGUUGAAUGAGCUUUCAGUAUCGCUUGAUAGCCUUGUAUUCAUGGGAUUUCGGAUGAUGGCUUGUGUUCUGCUCUCAAGAACAGUUAUGAUAUUGAGCUUAUCAAAGUCUUGAGCAAUAAAGCUCAUCUCCAUCUCCCGAUUGAAACAGUCNAUUGAGUCAAAUGCUUAAUUCUAUAACAUUGAGCUGUGAUGGGGAGCGAAGUUUAGUAGCGAAGUUAGUGACGUCACACUGCCAAGAAAAGCUUCUAGCGUUUAAACAUACUCUACCCGUACCGCAAACCGACACAGGUAGUCGAGGCGAGUAGCCUCAGGUGAGCGAGAGAACUCUCGUUAAGGAACUCGGCAAAAUGACCCCGUAACUUCGGGAGAAGGGGUGCUGACUUAAAGUCAGCCGCAGUGAAUAGGCCCAAGCAACUGUUUAUCAAAAACACAGCUCUCUGCUAAAUCGUAAGAUGAUGUAUAGGGGGUGACGCCUGCCCGGUGCUGGAAGGUUAAGAGGAGUGCUUAGCGUAAGCGAAGGUAUGAAUUGAAGCCCCAGUAAACGGCGGCCGUAACUAUAACGGUCCUAAGGUAGCGAAAUUCCUUGUCGGGUAAGUUCCGACCCGCACGAAAGGCGUAAUGAUUUGGGCACUGUCUCAACGAGAGACUCGGUGAAAUUUUAGUACCUGUGAAGAUGCAGGUUACCCGCGACAGGACGGAAAGACCCCAUGGAGCUUUACUGCAGUUUGAUAUUGAGUGUCUGUACCACAUGUACAGGAUAGGUAGGAGUCUAAGAGAUCGGGACGCCAGUUUCGAAGGAGACGCUGUUGGGAUACUACCCUUGUGUUAUGGCCACUCUAACCCAGAUAGGUGAUCCCUAUCGGAGACAGUGUCUGACGGGCAGUUUGACUGGGGCGGUCGCCUCCUAAAAGGUAACGGAGGCGCCCAAAGGUUCCCUCAGAAUGGUUGGAAAUCAUUCGCAGAGUGUAAAGGUAUAAGGGAGCUUGACUGCGAGAGCUACAACUCGAGCAGGGACGAAAGUCGGGCUUAGUGAUCCGGUGGUUCCGUAUGGAAGGGCCAUCGCUCAACGGAUAAAAGCUACCCUGGGGAUAACAGGCUUAUCUCCCCCAAGAGUUCACAUCGACGGGGAGGUUUGGCACCUCGAUGUCGGCUCGUCGCAUCCUGGGGCUGUAGUCGGUCCCAAGGGUUGGGCUGUUCGCCCAUUAAAGCGGCACGCGAGCUGGGUUCAGAACGUCGUGAGACAGUUCGGUCCCUAUCCGUCGCGGGCGUAGGAAAUUUGAGAGGAUCUGCUCCUAGUACGAGAGGACCAGAGUGGACUUACCGCUGGUGUACCAGUUGUCUUGCCAAAGGCAUCGCUGGGUAGCUAUGUAGGGAAGGGAUAAACGCUGAAAGCAUCUAAGUGUGAAACCCACCUCAAGAUGAGAUUUCCCAUGAUUAUAUAUCAGUAAGAGCCCUGAGAGAUGAUCAGGUAGAUAGGUUAGAAGUGGAAGUGUGGCGACACAUGUAGCGGACUAAUACUAAUAGCUCGAGGACUUAUCCAA